AGUUACCUACGGGGGGCAGCAGUAGGGAAUCUUCGGCAAUGGGCGAAAGCCUGACCGAGCAACGCCGCGUGAAUGAAGAAGGCCUUCGGGGUGUAAAAUUCUGGUAUAAGGGAAGAAAGGUGAUAGGAGGAAAUGACUAUCAAUUGACGGUACCUUAUGAGAAAGCCACGGCUAACUACGUGCCAGCAGCCGCGGUAAUACGUAGGUGGCAAGCGUUAUCCGGAAUUAUUGGGCGUAAAGAGCGCGCAGGUGGUUCAUUAAGUCUGGUGUAAAAGCCCGCGGCUUACCCGGGGAGGGUCAUUGGA
rnacentral:rRNA from 1 species